UACAGAGGCCUCAAGCGUUGUUCGGAUUUAUUGGGCGUAAAGGGCGCGUAGGCGGCGGGGUAAGUCGGGUGUGAAAUCUCAGGGCUCAACCCUGAAACUGCACUUGAUACUGCUCUGCUUGAGGACUGGAGAGGAGACUGGAAUUUACGGUGUAGCGGUGAAAUGCGUAGAUAUCGUAAGGAAGACCAGUGGCGAAGGCGGGUCUCUGGACAGUUCCUGACGCUGAGGCACGAAGGUCAGGGGAGCAAACGGG
rnacentral:rRNA from 1 species